rnacentral:rRNA from 1 species
UGUGGCGAAGUGGGUGAUCCUAUGCUGCCGAGAAAAGCCUCUAGUGAGUGUCGUGGCGGCCCGUACCCCAAACCGACUCAGGUGGUCAGGUAGAGAAUACCAAGGCGAUCGGGUGAACUGUGGUUAAGGAACUCGGCAAAUUGCCCCCGUAACUUCGGGAGAAGGGGGGCCUCCGCUGGUGAUCAGACUUGCUUUGUGAGCUGGUGGGGGUCGCAGAGGCCAGGGGGAAGCGACUGUUUACUAAAAACACAGGUCCGUGCGAAGUCGUUAGACGAUGUAUACGGACUGACGCCUGCCCGGUGCUGGAACGUUAAGGGGACCGGUUAGCGCAUCUUCGGGUGUGCGAGGCUGAGAACUUAAGCGCCAGUAAACGGCGGUGGUAACUAUAACCAUCCUAAGGUAGCGAAAUUCCUUGUCGGGUAAGUUCCGACCUGCACGAAUGGCGUAACGACUUCCCCGCUGUCUCAACCGCAGACCCGGCGAAAUUGCACUACGAGUAAAGAUGCUCGUUACGCGCAGCAGGACGGAAAGACCCCGGGACCUUCACUACAGCUUGACAUUGGCGUUUGGAACGUCUUGUGUAGGAUAGGUGGGAGACUGUGAAGCUGUCACGCUAGUGGCGGUGGAGUCAUUGGUGAAAUACCACUCUGGUCGUUUUGAACGUCUAACUUCGGUCCGUGAUCCGGAUCAGGGACAGUGUCUGGUGGGUAGUUUAACUGGGGCGGUUGCCUCCUAAAGAGUAACGGAGGCGCCCAAAGGUUCCCUCAGCCUGGUUGGUAAUCAGGUGUCGAGUGUAGGUGCACAAGGGAGCUUGACUGUGAGACCGACGGGUCGAGCAGGAGCGAAAGCUGGGACUAGUGAUCCGGCGGUGGCAUGUGGAAGCGCCGUCGCUCAACGGCUAGAAGGUACCCCGGGGAUAACAGGCUGAUCUUCCCCAAGAGUCCAUAUCGACGGGAUGGUUUGGCACCUCGAUGUCGGCUCGUCGCAUCCUGGGGCUGGAGUAGGUCCCAAGGGUUGGGCUGUUCGCCCAUUAAAGCGGUACGCGAGCUGGGUUUAGAACGUCGCGAGACAGUUCGGUCCCUAUCCGCUGCGCGCGCAGGAGACUUGAAAGGAGCUGUCCCUAGUACGAGAGGACCGGGGCGGACGAACCUCUGGUGUGCCAGUUGUUCCGCCAGGAGCAUGGCUGGUUGGCUACGUUCGGAAGGGAUAACCGCUGAAAGCAUCUAAGCGGGAAGCUCGCCUUGAGAUGAGGUCUCCCACCACGUGAGUGGGUAAGGCCCCCGGGAGACGACCGGGUUGAUAGGCCGGAGGUGGAAGCACGGUAACGUGUGGAGCUGACCGGUACUAAUAGGCCGAGGACUUGACCAU